rnacentral:lncRNA from 1 species
ACCAAACACACACUUAGGUGUGUUUGGCCGAUUAAAAACGCAGGGAACGAGCAGGAGCUUCACACAAACCCUAACUCUCACUAAAUCAGUCAAUUGAAGGCUCUAAUCUGGUCCAAAUCGAAAUCCGAGCACGUAUUAGUGAUCCCCACUGAAAAAGGAGUCACAAGGCAUGAGUUUGACUCUAAACAAGCUAGGUGGGAGCUUGGAAAGGAACGGGUCAAACGAAUGA